GAGGGGGUGGGAGGCGGCGGUACAGGGUGCAGGCAUGGCAGAAAUGAGCUGAAUUGAGGCUAGGGAUGGAGUCGUUAGGAAAGGUUGGCAGAAUCUGCCAAUGCGUUCAGAUGUUGGUGGGGAUAAUAUAGGGUUCCCUUAUUGGGGCUGCCAGUUUUCUGGAGACAGACAACCAGGCUGGUUCUAUUAUCAGAUGCAGUGAGAGAAUGCAAAUUUCAUCCUGUGGGAGGAAAAAAGACUCAGGCCAUGCCACUUUUAUCUCUCCAGUACACAGAAAGAAACGAAAGAUGCGGUGCAGCUAGAUCAUAAUAGUCAGGAAACCACAUCCUUCCUCAUAACCCUGAGGUUAUGAGCAACACGCAGGAACCUGAAGGAGAGCCUUCUCUAUCCAUCUGUGUGGUUUCUCCCAACUGGACUUGGAAAGGUCCAUGCGGAGACCACCGGUCUGUGACCUGGGUGGUGACAGUGAGCACAGAGUCAGUCUUAUACAUUUCUUUGUCUCAUCUCAGCCCUGACAGUAGAAGCCACCGGUCUCUCACUGAAGAACUUCAACCGAGGGAUAAAAUUUGAUGAGUGGCACCGAGGAUGUAAAAGGGGCUGACCGUCAAAGCCAACGACUCUGACCAGAAGGCUGGCAAUUGUGGCUUCCUUAUUUCCUCCUGCUUCUUGCUCAAUUUCGCCUCAUCUGUAGUCCACACCUGAUGGUUUCGUUUAAAACAGCCAUCCAGCCUUGACCUUGGCCCCUCCACAAAACCGGGCAUGAUUUAUUUUCAUCUGCAGCAGAUGCCACCCCCCGAUACACUGAAUAUUUUGCCUGUCACCCAACCAGAAUGUCAAUGUCUCAGUCUUUUCCUGUAGGCUUCAUUAAUGUAUUUGUGACACCGAGACUAAUGCCCGCAAUGAGAGAACUGUUUAAUAAAUAUUUUAGUGAAUGAA
rnacentral:lncRNA from 1 species